ACUGUGAGAAGAGGAUGCUUGACUAGAUGGGCUUUUGGUCUGAUCUUCCCAUGGCCUUAUAUUCACCAGGUGUAGGACCAGCACCAGGUCUGAGACCACACGAAAAUCUCUGAUAGGUCAGGCCAGUGUCUCAUCUAGUCCAGCACCCUCUUCUCGCAGU